rnacentral:rRNA from 1 species
CUGCUGCCUUCCGUAGGAGUUUGGGCCGUGUCUCAGUCCCAAUGUGGCCGUCCACCCUCUCAGGCCGGCUACUGAUCGUCGCUUUGGUAGGCCGUUACCCUGCCAACUGGCUAAUCAGACGCGGGCCCAUCUUAUACCACCGGAGUUUUUCACCCUGGGCCAUGCGGCCCUGGGCGCUUAUGCGGUCUUAGCACCUAUUUCUAAGUGUUAUCCCCCUGUAUAAGGCAGGUUACCCACGCGUUACUCACCCGUCCGCCACUAAAGUAAAAAUUGUUUCCG